GAUGAACGCUGGCGGCGUGCCUAAUACAUGCAAGUCGAGCGAACGGACGAGAAGCUUGCUUCUCGGAUGUUAGCGGCGGACGGGUGAGUAACACGUGGAUAACCUACCUAUCAGACUGGGAUAACUUCGGGAAACCGGAGCUUAUACCGGAUGAUAUUUUGAACCGCGUGGUUCAAAAGUGAGAGACGGUGUUGCUGUCACUUAUAGAUGGAUCCGCGCUGCAUUAGCUAGUUGGUAAGGUAACGGCCUACCAAGGCAACGAUGCAUAUCCGACGUGUGAGAGUGAUAGGCGACACUGGAAGUGAGACACCGACCUGGGUCCUACGGGAGGCAGCAGUAGGCAACGUUACGCAAUGGGCGAGAGCCUUACGGAGCAACGCGGCGUGAGUGAUGAAGGUCUUCGGAUCGUAAAACUCUGUUACUAGGGAAGAACAGAUGUGUAAGGAACUGUGCACAUCUUGACGGUACCUAAUCAGAAAGCCACGGCUAACUACGUG
rnacentral:rRNA from 1 species